GGUGAACGCUGGCGGCGUGCCUAAUACAUGCAAGUCGAGCGAACAGAUAAGGAGCUUGCUCCUUUGACGUUAGCGGCGGACGGGUGAGUAACACGUGGGUAACCUACCUAUAAGACUGGGAUAACUUCGGGAAACCGGAGCUAAUACCGGAUAACAUUUGGAACCGCAUGGUUCUAAAGUGAAAGAUGGUUUUGCUAUCACUUAUAGAUGGACCCGCGCCGUAUUAGCUAGUUGGUAAGGUAACGGCUUACCAAGGCGACGAUACGUAGCCGACCUGAGAGGGUGAUCGGCCACACUGGAACUGAGACACGGUCCAGACUCCUACGGGAGGCAGCAGUAGGGAAUCUUCCGCAAUGGGCGAAAGCCUGACGGAGCAACGCCGCGUGAGUGAUGAAGGGUUUCGGCUCGUAAAACUCUGUUAUUAGGGAAGAACAAACGUGUAAGUAACUGUGCACGUCUUGACGGUACCUAAUCAGAAAGCACCGACUAACUACGUGCCAGCAGCCGCCGCAG
rnacentral:rRNA from 1 species